UCUCAAUUCUCAGACUUGUCAGAGGUUUGACUCCCCUAGAGGGUGUGUGCAACGCAGCAGCACCCAGACUUUUUGGUCUGUGGAAUUUUUUAUUUACAGAGCAUCUCAAUAGGACGAUUCUGUGAAACUGAUUUUGAAUAAGGCUCGCAUGAGGGCGAGCACUCUGGCCGUGGAGUUAAAGAAAACAUAGGCUCUAAUUUAUAUUUGGACCUCACUUGUGUGUUGAACUUGGUCUCUUAACUAUAAAUUCUUUGAUUCUCAUCCAUAUGGCAGUUCCCUAGGAUAACACAUGCACACGGACACACCCCUGCUGAGAAACCCAGGUAAAUCUACAGGCGGAAGCUCUUCCUUGAUGUCCAGCUCUCAUCCUCUGUGUUGGACAUCACGCAGAGGCUCCAUAAAUGGGAUUUCACUGCGGGGGUGGAGGGGGAGAGACAAUUAAAAGGAGUUGUGACAUGUUUAAUUAUUACCACGAAUGCCCUGGUCCUGCGUGAACUGGUCAGAUGGCCUGUUUGUUCUCAGCACUUCCCUUUACAGAUUAUUCUGAGCAUAACUUUGUCUUUGCUUUUUGUUUGUUUUAGCCAAAGGCCCAGACAUUCGUCUUUCUUCACCAUUUUCAGUGAUGCGUGCCUGUUGCCUGUUUAUUUUUCUAGCUGUAGGAAGCUAAAGUCUCAUCUAUUAAAAUAUCAUGUUACAUUUUAUGUCCUAAAUUGAGCUCCUAUUAGAUUUCGGUUUAAACAUAGACUCUGAGGUUAGGAGAAGUAGAAAGUACAGGUUGUAAGUCAUGUUUGGAGAAUUUAAGAUAUCCUUCUCCUGACCUUUUGGGAGCACACAUUCUCCUGGGUUCUGUCCAGCUUUACUCAGAACUCCAUUGCCUACUGAUGUCUCCUCUCUGCUUUAUCCCUGUUCUAGUUAUCUAUUUCUGGAAAGUAAUCUCACAGUGUUGCGAGUUAGGAAUGGAGCCUGGCACAGCUGGGUGAUCUCUUCUGUUCCAGAUGGCACUGACAGAGGUCACUCAGUGACACUCAGCUGACAGAGGGGCUGGUCUCUGGUCUGCGCUGGUUUGGUGCUGCACAAGGGUGGGUGGAAGGUGGACCAGCUGGUUCUGUGAGCUGGAGCACCUCCAUGUGGCUUUGCAGCACGGCAGCCUCAAGGUCGUAGGACUUCAUACCUGGUUGGUUCACGGCGGCCGGAGUGAGAGUUCCAGCAAACCAGGUGGAAGCUUGCAUGGUAUGAUCUAGCCUCUAAUGUCCAAUGGUGUCCCUUCCGCCAUAUUCUAUUGGUUGGAGCACUCACAAACCCACUCAGAUUCAGAGGGAGGGACACAGACCCCCUCUCUCAAUGAGAAAGAUGGAAAAGAACCUGUGGCCCUGUCUGGACACAUGUUGGAUUUUUUUGUAGGCUUUGGUCCUAAGCCCUCCUCUCCAUGUACACACUUACCCCAGGUGAUGUCAUUUAGACCCAUGGUUUUAAAAUAGCAUCUUGAUGCUGUGACUCCCAAAUAUAUAUACAUCUAGAUCGGACCUUUCCAAAAGGUUCAGAUUCUAAUGUUCUGCUGCCUACCUGAUAUUCCCACCUGAUUCACAGGCAUCUCAAACUCAGUAUGGUCAAGCAGAGCUCUUUUUUUUUCCCCCCAGAGCUCUUGAUUUAUACUCUGCAGACUGGUUCCAUGCCGAGUUUUCUCCAUCUCAGGAAAUGCCACCAGCAUCCACCCAGUAAGUCAAACAUUUCAUCCCUCUCCUCUCAACUAUGCAUCCAGUCCAUAAGCAAGUCUUGGCAACUCUCCCCCGCCAAAAUAUAACUCAGACCCACCUAUUUCUCUCCAUAUUCAUUUCCAAGUCUAUGCCACCAUCAUCUUUCCCAUGGACUUCCUAAAGUAGCUCCUGGAAUAAUUUUCCAAGGUCCCCAUCUACAACCCUCUCCAGUCUGUUCUCCACAGCUACAAGUGAUCUUUCAAGUGUAAACUAGAUGACGCAGGGCCCCACGUUAAACCCUCAGGUGAGAUUCUGUUGCUCUUUGAAGGAAACCGGAGCUCUGUUGUGGCCUCUAAGGCCUUACAUGACCUGGUCUCUGCCCACUUCUCCAAGCUCAUCUCCCAUCGCUCCCGUCCCCAGUCCAACCACAGGCCUCCUUUCUGCUCUUUCUCCCCUGAGGCCCUUUGCACUGCCAUUGCCUCUGCCUGGACAGACCUUCCAGCAAUUCCAAUAACUAGUUCAUUCUUCUUCAAAAUUCAGUCCACGUAUCUCCUCCUCGACCACCUGAUUGAAGCACUGUCCCUCUCACACCAUCACUUGGCCCAUUUAUUUCCUUCUUAGAAAAGAUCACAGUCUGUAAUUAAUAUCAUUUGUUAUCUAUCAUUGUCUUUUUCCCUUCCAGAAUCUAAGAGCCAUGAAGUCCAGGGACCAGAACUUUCCCCAGAGCCUACACAGGGACUGGAUUGUAAUAUACUCCAUAAAGGCUGAUCUUAUGCAGGUGGGCAAUACGAAAGGACACAUGAUUCACAUGGCCCUGGUUCUCAGAUUUGGCAGGUUCCAGGGCGUGGCCUGGACACCAGGAGUUUUAAAUGCUCCCGGGUGGUUUGAAUGGACACUGAGGUGGAGGACCACUGAAGUACAGCAACUGUGAAUGAAGAGCUGCUCUAGAACAACAUUUGUGUCUACACUCCUGAGGAUACCUAGCAUUCAGGGCUGAAAUACCCAGGUGAUAACCAACCCCCGAGGGGCGGCCCCUGUUGUAAGACAGUGACCUGGGCUGGGGGGCUCGGAGACUGUGACCCGUAAGGAUUCAGGAACAGACUCUGUGCUGUGUAUUUGCUGUUGAGUGUGCUCACUCUCCAAGCCUUGAUAGCUGAGGUUUUGUGACACCGAAGAACCCUCUGAUGAGAAAUCAGAGGACUGACUAGUUGUGGGAAGUUUAUGGCAUGAAAAAGAAAAGCCAUCUCUAGAACAUCUGAUGUUCCAGGUGAAUGUACUCGAGAAGACGAUGGGCUGAGUGCUUCCGGAGUCAAUAUUUCCAAAAGCAGCCGAGGCGGCUCCAUCUGUACGUAAGUGGCUGUAAGAUAGCGGCUGACGGCAGUCUCGGGGAAGCCCAGCUCUCAGGCCACGGAGGCUGUGUCUCUCCGCUUGAGGUGGUGCACGAUGAAAGUCCCCAGGGCCCCCAGGGGGAUGCACAUGGUAGAGGAGGCCACGAGCAGCCCAAUGAUGGCCAGUGCAUACGGGGGGUAGUCCUUGGUCACAAGCUGGCCCUGAAGAAGGAACCUGAGUGUCAGAAGAAAGAACCUCCCGUGCGGAGCCUUCCGAGGGCACCACCCCUCCAGGCCUCAGGCCCUCCAGCGCGAGGAAGAGAGCAUCUGCGGCCGGGCAUCCUUGCACACGGGGCCGACGGGGCCGCCCCAGCUCUGUGUGCAGGUCACUAGUGGCUCUGCUGGGCAGACUAACUCCCCCUGUGCAUACUGUUUGGAGCUAUCUGGAAAAAGCAACCAUGAGAACCCUCCAAGGCUUAUGUUCAAGGCAGCAGCAGGGCACCUAAAUGUAGGGGCGACCUGUCCAGUACAGCAGCCACCAGGCAUAGGUGGCCAUUGAGCACUGGGAAUGUGGCCGGGGAUGCGCAAGAAGUGAAUUUUAAGUAUUGUUUAAAUUUCAGUAGCCACAUGUGGUUAUUAGCUUCUGUGUCCAGCAGCACAGCUCCCACCUCAGGAGAAGUGUUGAUGGACCUCAGGACUUACUUGGAAGAAUGAUGGAUGGUUCCGUAAAUGCAAAACUGAUGAGAAACCAGUUGAGGCCCAAAAGCCACUAAAUGCUACACUACCUUUCCACAAAGGAACCAGAGGACAGCUAAAUCCAGGGAGCAGGUACUUGCUGUCAACCAAAGCACGUAUGGUUUGUAAACCAAAAUGCCAGCCGGAGUGUGGCCGCGGGAACCAGCCCACAGACUUCUGUUGCUUGUCUGUUACUCAUUGUGUUCUGUGUGACGAGUACAGGAAUUGGGAGGAAACAUAAAUGAUUUUAGCAGUUUGACAGCCUAUAAUCCUGUGUCUGCUGAAUCUGAUACAUAUUUGGUGCUUGUAUUUGCUCUACCUUUUUUUUUAAGGAAUUCACUGUUUGUUAAUUGCAUUUUCCAAAAGUAUCAGGCUGCAGGGACUGGAGGAAACACCCUGCUCCUCCACUGCGGGGUGGGAAGCCCUGCUCGGCACCACUGCCAGAACCAGACGCGGUGCAGCGUGGAGUGUGUGGACUGGAGCACGGGGUGCACACUGCACACACACACCAUAUGCUAAGGGGCAGCAUCUUCUACCCACAGGGAAAGAAAUCCAAAUUGGUCAGUUGUAUUACUUUCCUUAAAAAGUAAAUCUUUUUUAUGAGAGUGUGUCUGUGCAAGGACAGCCAAGGCUGACCCUCAGGCCCGGUGCCGUGAUACGGCUGUCCAGGUUGUUAAAACACUGAUGUGCUGCCCUCUGCUGGGUGAGCAGAUGCAGCCCAGCCUCCUGAGUGCCCCUCUCAGUCCCCGGUUCUGUCCUAGCAACUCCAGUGUAAACGCCAGUCCCUGCCCCGCCAGUCCCUGCCCCACCCAGCUCCUCAGGGGCCAUGCCCUCCAGCCUUGCUUGGCCUUGCCUGAGUGGCCUCAGUGGACAGAGGCCACCAGGAAGUUCUGGACGGAAUCUCACUCUCUUCACUGCAGCCCAUGUUGAAAAACUCAGCCCAGCAGCUGGGCUGAGUAUUUUUACAUACCUGGGUGAUGUUUUUACAUACCUGGGAGGCGUCCCAGGCUUGGUACUGCAGGGUCCCUGUGAUGAUGUAGUCACUCAGGUAGAAGACAAAGAGGCUGAUGAUGAGCAGCGGGCUCACACCGCCCCACAUGGCCUUCCAGUACCAGUUCAGAGCGUGUCCAGUCAUAGCCUUAAGGUCGCUUUCGAAUCUGUUUGGAGGUGGGGAGAGAAAGCUUGGAUUAUCCAUGCUGUUGGCGCCAGGCAGUCCAGGCCACACCUCCUCGUCUGCUCAGGAAGAUUCUGUGCUGGGCACCACUGAUGUCUGAACACGACCACUGGGCGCUCUCUGCUUCCUUGUGGGGGUCUUGGGGGCAGGGAGGGAAGAAGGGCUGAGGCCGCCACAGAGGGGGCAAAGCAACCACCCAUAGGCGAGUGGACAUCAGAGGCCAUCCUCCUGGUGCCGGCCUUCAGCUGGAGGCUGCUGCUGUACACCAGAGGGCCUGGCGGGAUGCCCGUGAAGCCAGUCCUCAACACCAGGGGACCGCGAGGGCAGCCCUGCUCCACCCCUCCCACCCUGCUGUCUGUCAGCAACUCUCCUUCCCCCUAGAAACGCCCCCACAGGGGAAUCGCUUUUGUCCCCUGAAACCAGAGCAGGUUUUCUGGGGCAGAGGGAAAACCUGAAGGAAGCAGAAGCACCUUGGCCCUGACCCGUUGGAGCUGGCAUGGAGUGGUGCUUCCCAAGUGUAGCUGCCUGCAGCCCACCAUUGUGAUUCCCAUCGUCUGUGGGCUUUUUAUAAUUGACUCAUUUACCUGAAUUUAGCAAUAGCAUGACAAUAUAUCCGUUUUACCAUGGAUUGGAUAGGCUAAUCAUAUUUUUCUGCCCCCCCCACACACAAAUGAGGAUGGAAAGUAUCUCAGCACUUUGAGAAAUGCUGACCCAGCCGCCUCCCCGUUUCCCAGGGGAGGGGACCGAGGUCCAGGGCUGUGAUGUGACUUGCCUGAGGGCACCCAGGUAGUGGCCGACCCAGGCCCAGCAUCCGGAUUGGUGUCUUACCUCCAGUCCAGGGCCUUUGAAACUGCUCCCCACGGCAGAAAAGGCAGCCAUGGGGGAGGGGAGGGGGCCGGGUGAGACUGUCACAGGGGGAACCACAGCCCCUGCCUCUCCUGGACCCUGCAGCGUGUCCAUCACCACCUGCGCCCCCCCCCCCCCGCUGCAGACCACAAAGACCCACGUGCAUAAUGUGAACACUUGGGACUCUCGAAACUACAUGUGGCAGAAAGUGUUGUGAGGCAUGGCCUUCACGGGUGGGUUUCCUGGGCGGCUGGCGGGGCAGGCCUCCUACCUCCUCAGUCCGUACAGGUAGCACACGGCGGCCGCCUCCACCAGGACAAUGAGCAGCAGGGGCAGCGUGGCGGCGUAGUCAUUGAAGAUGUCGAACCAGUAGUUGCCGGCCUCCAUGGUGAACACCAAGCCGAUGGCACAGCUGACGAGGCACACCAGACCUAGGAGCACAAGACCGCCUGCUCACCCGCCUGAGACCCCGGCCUGCGCACCCAGCUUUCUAUGGGGCCCAAGAGCCAUGGACCCUGAGGAGGCGCUGGCCGUUCAGUUCAUCCUCAUGGGCUGGGGGAGCCGUCGUGGACUGGCCUCUCUGCACGUGUGUGCCACGUGUGUGUGUUGGGCAGCGUGGGGCAAAGGUGUUGCAAGGAGUGUCAGCAGGACUUCCUGCUGUUAAUUCAUGGGGCCGUCCAGUAGUGGGGAAUCAAACUUGGUGGAAAAGAGAAACUUGUAGGCGUUGCUGUCUAGGGGAAUCUCACCCAAUCUAUGGGUCUGGUGACUCUCUUUAUCCCAGCAACUCAGCCACUAAGCUCAUGGGAAGUGAAUCAGGGGAGGAGAUUUGAGCUGCAGGGCACCUCUCACAGGACCCCCUAGAGAGGAUUCACAUCUGACCAGAAGAGAGGAGUAGGGAGGGGAGGAGAAGAAACAAAUGCUUACCCAGCUGCUACUGCGCCCCAGGCACUUGCCAUGCAGUGGAGGCUUUAGCUUCUGGGGCAGGUUAUCAGGAGCCCCCUUCUACAGAGGGGGAAGCCAAGGCUCAGAGAUGUCGGGUAACUUUCCCAACAUUCCACAGCACAGAAAGAAAGUUGGAAUUCAGACACAGGCCCUUCUGUCUCCAGAACCGAAGCUCUGGCUCCAGUCUCUGCUGCCUCCCUUGGGCACCCCACAAAGUAUUAGACUCUAAAGCUCCCACCUGCCCUUUCCAUGGCCACAGCCUACACCACCAGCCAGUGAGCCCCACUGCUGUCCUGAGGCGGACACAAGAACAGGCUCUGUGCGGGAGGGGAGGCUCACAUAAUGCUGGCUCCUGAGGGCAGGGAGGCUAAGCGCUAGAGGGCUCUGGUGGGAGCUGGGUUUGAUGUGGGCUGGGACGAGGGGUUCUGGAUGUGGGGGUGAGGAGUCACGGUUCUCUGGACACUGCCAGGUUGCACUGGAGCAGAUGGGUGGUGGAGUGAAGUGGAGAGGCAGGCCUGGAUAAACAGGCUCUUGCCCUCACAAGGCAAAGGUCUGCCAGCUGCAGAAUGGGUAGAUGAAUUGUGGUGUAUGGUCUUAGGCUGGAUUAUUACACGGACGGGAAAGGGGACGGGGAUGGGGGCGUACUGAUGGGGCAGGAGCAGGGAGGGGCUCUCCGGUGUGAGAAAUGUACGUGUUGUUGUUAUGCUUCAGUCAACACAAAGACAAAAGCAGGUUCUCUGCUGGCCUGGAGAGCUUUGAGGGCCGUGCUGGGGGGUUUGGCCUUUGCGAAGGUUGGGGUGACCACUUCAUUCCCCUGUGAUGUGGAGAACCAGAUGCAUGGGGUGAAUCAUGUGUACCAGGUCCCAGAUUGCCCGAGAGGAGAGAGCCAUGGCAGGACCCCAGUGAGGCUGCUGCGGCCUCUCGCUGAGCCCGCGGCCCCUGAGGAGACUCCUCCCUCUGCUCACCUCCCCGAGCCCCGCCGCCUUCGCUGGCCCACUCACCUGAGAUUGCCUCCUUGGGCAGGUAGCUGGAGAUGACCUUGCUGUCGGUCAGAGGGGUGAGGAUGGCGGCCGUGUUCCCCAGCAUGCUUCCAAUGCCCAGCAUCAGCAGCAUGAAGAAGUAGAGCACCGACCACAGCUGGGACACCUCCAUGUUUUUAAUGGCCUCUGUGUAGACGAUGAAGGCCAGGCCGGUGCCCUGGACGGCCUGCCCACAGGAUGAAGACACCAGUUACACACCCGGGCGACUUAGGACUUCUUCCCCAGGUGCUAAGCUACUUGGGGAACCUGAGAAUCAGCCACGAGAAGCCACAUUCUGAGGUUGGAUCUUCCACCUGCACACCAGCCCACUGAGGGUAAGCUGGGCUGGAUAGAAAUGCGAGCUGUCAGGAGCCUUUAUUUGCAAAGUGUGAGGAGACACCUCAGUCAACUUGGAACACUGAGUUCCUCUCUCCUGCCCCAACUCACAUCAUUAUGGAUAAAAUAUAGUAAAAUAAUGGUUGCAUAA